UACGGGGGGAGCAAGCGUUGUUCGGAUUUACUGGGCGUAAAGGGCGCGUAGGCGGCGCAACAAGUCACUUGUGAAAUCUCCGGGCUUAACUCGGAACUGCCAAGUGAUACUGUCGUGCUAGAGUGCAGAAGGGGCAAUCGGAAUUCUUGGUGUAGCGGUGAAAUGCGUAGAUAUCGGGAGGAACAUCAGUGGCGAAGGCGGCUGCCUGGCCCAAUACUGACACUCAGGUGCGACAGCGUGGGGAGCAAACAGG
rnacentral:rRNA from 1 species